GUGAGUGCGGGAGGCCGCCGCUGGCCUGGGAAGAGGGGAGCGGGUUAGGAGCGCGGGGUCGGAGCGGAACCCCUGCACCCCCCCUCCUCCCAGGACUAGGGAUCUGCCGCUAGAGGCGGGGGCCCAAAGCCCCCCGCUGGGCCCGGGCGAGGAUGGGCGGGCAGGAGGCGGAGCGCAGCGCGGCGCUGCGCUGGGCGGCGGGAAAGGGGCGGGGAGGACAGCUCAGGCUUAAGCGGGCAGAGGGACGGUGGCAGAACCUGCGGGCUAGGUGGGAGGCUCACCCACAGGGAGGAAGGGAAGCGAGGACCGCCGCUGCUGAGGAGCGAGGAGACGCUUGGAGUCCAGGGGUCAGGCCGCUGCCACCUCCUCCUGCAGCGGAGACAGCACAGCCAGCGGGCGCACUGGCCGCAACGGCAACCCUCCGCGCAGGUGGGCACCCCCGAGCGCGGCGCUCUGCCCCUUCUCGGACCGCCGCGGGCCGGAUGCCCUCCUUUCCAGGCCACUGAGUUCGGGGGCGAGGGCUGGGCAGGUCUGGGGGUAGGAGGAAUGUGCACGGCUCCUUGGUGUGCACGCUUGUGCGCGCGCGCUGUGCUAGGUGGGGAAGAGGUGCGGGAAAGCAGCCUCCCUCAGGAUUUACUCCCUCGGGUCUCGCUGUCCCCACCCCCACUCUCUUCUGACCAGCAGAGCUCUCGAGCGGCUUUAGAGAACUGCGACCCCCUCCCUCGUCCGCAAUCUCGGUGGUGUGUGCACUUCGCCCCCCUCUUCACAAUCCACACCCAGCAACCAUCAGGACGCCCCCUGCUCUGUAGGAACCUUGGGAGAAGAGAGAGUGGUGGCAAGACCAGCCAGGGUGUGUUCGGGGAAGGCAGGAGUUGCUGGAGUAUUGUCUGCCGGGGACGGUGCCUGAGCCCGCGCGCUCCCUCGCGCUUUCAGGGCCAGAGUUGGGGGCGGGGGGCGGGCGCGGGGGGUUUGCUGAACUUAUCUCCGAAGGCUGACUGUGCACAUGCACUUGGCGACUUGUGCACGUUUGGACGAGGACUUAAUGGAGGCACGUGGGAGCAGGAUCGGUCGCUGGCGGGCCCCCAAAGAGCCUCUUGGCUCUUGGGAUGGCCCAGCGCGUGUUCUGGGGUGGGAAGGAAGGGAGAGUGUGCGUGUGUGUGAAUGUCCGUCCUAGGGAGGAGAAGGAGGAGAGUGGCUCGAGGAGACUUGAUUUUCUUGGAUUUGCUGCCAGUCCGUAAACCAAACCAGGCUUUCGAGGCGCUAAAGUAAAUUACCGGUGGCAGUGUAGAAGCCAAAACGGGAGCUUCCAGAAGUGGUUUCUGAAAAAUAAGAGUGAAUAUACAUGAGUAAGCAAGCACAAGAAUCUGAAAAACCACAGAAUUCUGGGCCGGAGCUAAUGGUGCUCUCACAGGGAAGCUCAAGUUAUUGUUCUGUUGACUGUAUAAGUGUCAGGCAUCAAAAUGGCCGGUAAAGAGAAUGAAGCUUUCUCUUUCCUUGGAGGUGCAUGCGUUCAGCACAAUACUGGAAUGUGGUGAUAUCUUGUGAUUUUUGACGUUCUGCUUUUACAGCGGAGGAGGGAUUUGUUUAGCCCCUGCCAACAAGGAUGUAAAACAAAAUCAGAUGCUGUUCUGGAAGCUUUAAAAGAUCAAAUUGGACACUUCCCAGUAGAAAGCAAAUUGGGAGCUCUGAGUCAGAAAGUAUAGACUAAACUAAAGACUAAAAGAUUAAAAGGCUCCAUGGAUAUAGAAUGUCAGGAAAGCUCUUGGGCAUUUAGGAACAUGGAAGUUUGCACUGCAUGGGACUUAGGUUCAUUAUCUAACUCAAGAAACUGGGAAGUAACUACUCAUCCCCCAACGUGUCUAAGAGGAAUAGGGCCUCGAAUCUUCUAAAUUAGAAAGGAAAAGAGCAAAGUUGAGGUUAUAACCCUUUCUUGAAUUAUAGCAUUCACAUUAUACAAACGUAAGGUGCUUUAGAGAUAUUUUAUUUUUGAGGCAUAACAUACAUACAGUAAAAUGUGUAAAAUACAUUAAUCUAAAGUGUACUCCUCAAUGAAUUUUUACAUGUGUAUACACCCGUUUGACCACUAUCCAGGUCAAGAUGUAGAACAUUUCCAGCACCCUAGGAGAUUUUCUACUCUUUCCCCUUCUGGUCACUUUCAUUCCCCUUCCAACCUGAAGGUAACCACAUCAUGAUUUUUUUUUUCACACUGUGAUUUUUUUAAAACUCCAUCCACUAGUUUUGUCUGCUGUUAAGCUCCAUAUAAAUAGUAUCGUAUGGAAGGGAUUUUUGUGUCUAUCUUCUUUCACAUAAUGUAAUGUCUAUGAGAUUCCUCCAUGUUACUGUGUGUAUUAGUUCAUUCUAGUCUGUUGUUGAGUAGUAAUUCCAUUGUAUGGAUAUACCACAAUUUGUUUAUCCAGUCUCCUGUUGGAUCUUUGGACUCUUCCCAUUGUGUGGCUAAUAUGAAUAAAGCACUGUGAACGUUCUUGCUUAUGUUUUUUUUUUUUUUUAAAGAUUUUAUUUUUUCCUUUUUCUCCCCAAAGCCCUCCGGUACAUAGUUGUGUAUUCUUCGUUGUGGGUUCUUCUAGUUGUGGCAUGUGGGACGCUGCCUCAGCGUGGUCUGAUGGGUAGUGCCAUGUCCGCGCCCAGGAUUCUAACCAACAAAACACUGGGCUGCCUGCAGCGCAGCGCGCGAACUUAACCACUCGGCCCCAGGGCCAGCCCCGUUGCUUAUGUUUUUUGGUGGACAUGCCCACUCCUUUCUCUUGAGUAUAUACGUAUGAAUGGAGUUGCUGGGUCAUAGAGUAGGCUUAUAUUUAGCUUUAGUAGAUAUUUCCAAACAGUAUUCCAAAGUAGUUAUACCAAUAUAAAUUCCACCAGUAGUGUACAACAGUUCCAGUUGCUCUACAUUUCCACUUGGUUCUGUCGGUCUUUUUAAUCUUAGCUAUUUUGGUGAGGGCAUAGUAGUACCUUCUGUGGGUUUUUAAAAAAUUUUAAUUGUGGUAAAAUAUAUAUAAUGUAAAAUUUACCGUUGUAAUAAUUUUUAAGUGUAUAGUUAGUGGUGUUAAGUACCUUUACAUUGUUGUGUAACCAUCACCACCAUUGAUCUCCAGAAUUCUUUUUAUCUUGCAAAACUGAAACCAUACCCAUUAAACAAUAAAUCCCCAUUCUCCCUUCCUUCAGCCCCUGGCAACCACCGUUCUGCUUUCUGUCUCUGUGAAUUUGAUUACUUUAAGUACCUCAUACAAGUAGAACCAUAGAAUAUUUGUUCUUUUGUGACUGGCUUAUUUCACUUAGCAUAAUGUCCUUAAGAUUCAUCUGUUGUAGCAUGCGUCAGAAUUUCCUUCCUUUUUAAGGCUGAAUAAUAUUCCAUUGUAUGAAUAUACCACAUUUUGUUUAUCCAUUUGUCAAUCGGUGGACACUUGGGUUGCAGCCACCUUUCAACUAUUGUGAAUAAUGCUGCUAUGAACAUGAGUGUACAAAUAUUUCUUCGAGACCCUGUUUUCAAAUUUUGGGGGUAUAUUGCUAGAUCAUAUGGUAAUUCUGUUUUAAUUUUUUGAGGAGCCACCAUACUGUUUUCCAUAGUGGCUGCACCAUUUUACAUUCCCAACAGUGUACAAGGGUUCCAAUUUCUCCACAUCCUCACCAACAGUUGUUAUUUUCUGUUGUGUUUUUGUUUUUUUUGAUAGUAGCUGUCGUAGUGGGUUUGAGGUGGUCCUUAUGGUUUUAAUUUGUGUUUCCUGGUGAGUAAUGUUGUUAAAUGCCAUUUCAUAUACUUAUUGACGUUUGGAUAUCUUUUUGUGAAAUUCCUGUUAAAAUCUUUUGCCCAUUUUUGAAUUGAAUUGUUUCUUUACUUCUUUGUCAGAGUUCUUUUAUAUUCUAUGUAUGAGUCCUUUGUCAAAUAUAUGUACAGUCAUGUGCUACAUAAUGAUGUUUUGGUCAACGAUGGACCACGUAUACAAAGGUGGUCCCAUAAGAUGAGUACCAUAGAGUCUAGGUAUGUAGUAGGCUAUACUAUCUAGGUUUGUGUGAAUACACUCUAUUUGCACAAUGAUGAAAUUGCCUCAUGACGCUUGACUGUAUUACAAAUAUUUUCUCCCAGUCUGUGGCUUGCCUUUUCACUGUCUUCAUGGUAUCUUUUGAAGGUUUUUAAUGAAGUCCAGUUAUCAGUUUUUUUCUCUUAUGGCUAUUGCUUUUUGUGUUCUAUUUAUGAAAUCUUUGCCUACUUUGGAGUUAUUUUUUUAAAAUUCCCUUUUAGUUACUGAAAAUAUAUAAAGGCAGUCUGUUUGGAAGAUGAAGUAAAUUAACUAUAAGCAUAUUUUCAAAUAAGUGCCCUAAGAAUGAAAGUUGAUGCUGUUCCUUGCUGCAGCAGGUUCCAGAGAAGGAGUUUGGAGAAGCCUGUUUUUCAAUAAGAUACGUGGACACAGAUGCUGUUACUCAAGUGGUUCCCGUUUCUGUCUCCCCCAGACACUGAUUAUGUCCUCAGGGCCCCUCUAGAGUGGAGGAACCCGAGGGAACAGCCUGGUAAUGACUUGACUAGAGGAAAGAAUGUGGCAAAAUGGAUUGAUAUCCACUUUUCCUUAGUUUGUAACCCAUAAUUGCUGAAUGAUCCUUCAUCUCCCCUCUUGCAUCCCUAAGGAGAGUUGCUGCUGUUUAGUGCUACUUCUUUUCUUUGCUUUUGAAACAUCAAUGUCCCUCAGGAUUCUGCCAUUAAUUAGCUUUUUCUCUUCUCCAUCUACAUCUUUUCCUCGAAUGCCCUGCAUUCACAUUCAUUUUCAUGUCUUGAGCUGUCUCUCCCCCUCUGCCCUGUGUUCUAAAGAUUCGCCAGGUCUUUAUCUGACUUGUGCCACCUGUCCCUCAACAGAAGGUCCAGAUUUGUAUCCUUAUCUGACUCCUGGACAUCUCCCACUAGAUAUCCCAUAGGUGCCUUUAUAAAAAUCACGUGUUCUUCCUCUCCAGUCUCCUCUUCUGCUUUCCUGCCUUAAUAUAUUUGCCGUUAAUCUGGGAUCCCAAAGUAGAAAUCUUGGCACUGUCCCCAAUCUCCCCACACAAUUAUAUCACCCCCACAGCCCAUAUUUAGUUGGUUGUCAAGGCUGCUGGGUCUUUCUCCUGUCUCUGAAAUAUCUUUCAAAGGCAUCUUCUCUUCCCUAUAUUCACUACCUUUUGGUUCAGGUCCCCUUUAGAAUUGUUGGAAUAGCCUCCCUGAUUUUUACUCUUGCCUCUAAUCCUCUGCUUCAUAUCAGCUUUCUUUUCCUAAAACACAGAUUUAAUCAUGUCAUUUCCUACUUAAAAUGAUUUGUAGCUCUCCACAGCCUACAAGAGGUAUUCAAAUCCGUUAAUAUAAUUUACAGUAUGACACCCUUCAUUAUUUGCCUUCAACCUGCUUUUCCUGCUCCAUCAUCUGCCAUUUCCUCCCCACACUCCAUCUGUCCUAAACUAUUUUUCAUUCUUAGAACAUUAGAACAUUCCUUGAGCUGUUUCCUGUAUCUGUGCUUUUGCAUAUGCUGUUUGUUCUACUUCUGAUGUCCAUUCCUGUCCACUGGUGAUGUACUAUUUUUUUCUUUAAAAAGCAGCUCAAAUGUGGCUUCUUCUUUGACUGAGCCUUCCUAUCCUCUAAGUAGAUGUUGUUAUUCAUACUUCUUUUAAUGUAGUUAGAAGAGAUGACUCCAUAAUUGCAGGCACUAUUGCAUAUUAAUCUUUGUACCCCCAAUGACUAUAGAGAGCACUACUUCAAAUAUAGAAGGCAUUUAGUAAAUGUUUACUGAAUGAAUAAUUCGUAAAGAAUCCAUUCCUUUAUCAGUUGGCUUUUGCUGCUUAACAAACCACCACAAUAUUGGUUUGGUUAGCAGUUUAAAACAACCAGCAUUUAGUUAGCUUUUGAUUCUGUGGGUUGGCAAUUUGGGCAGGAUUCAGCUGGGCAGUUCUUUAGAUCUGGGCAGGUUUUCUACUGGGUGGGGUGGGAGCUGGCUCUUCUAGGAUGGCCUCAGCUCCUCUCCACAUGGUUUCCAAUCUAUAACCAGGCUAGCCUGGGCUUGUUCACACUCUGGGUGGCGGGGUUCUAAGAGAGAGUGCAGAGGCAUGCAAGGCCUCUUGAGGCCUAGGCCUGCAACUGGCACAAGGUUACUUUCUCUGAAUUUUGUUAGCCAAAACAGGUCACAAAGCCAGCCCUGAUUCAGGAGGUGGGGAAAUAAAUAGAUUGCAUCUCUGGAAGUGAGGAGCUGCAGUCAUGUUGCAAGGAGCACAGAGAAAGGAGAGUAAUUGCAGCCAUUUUUAUGAGUAAUCUACUGCACUUACCUAGGAACAGGAAUAUAAGACUAGACCAGGCUUAGUCCAGAGGGUUGAUUCCACUUAGGUCACCAGCAGGGAGGACAGUUUUGAUCCUGACUAAUUGUGUCUAAUUGCAUCUAAGAUGAGCCCAACCAAGAUGGCCCCAUGGUUCCUAGUGAUACUGACCCUAGGCUUUUAGGCUGUCUGUGUAAUAGAAAGUGACAAGAGGCCAAACCAAAGUCUCAGACAAGGUUUUACCGGGACUUAUGCUCAAGCACAAGGGAGACAGCACAGGAGAAGUGGCUCUCUGGCUGGCUCCUGGAAGGGAGUCAUCUGGAGUCUUUUAUGGGGUGAAGAGAGCGGACUGGCAUCAUGAUUCCCCUCUGUUAGAGGCGUUCUGCUUCCCUCUUCCUGGUGGUAUCUUCUUUGCGUGUCUUCGCAUGCUGCCUCAGGGUUGCAGUCCCUGCCCCUGCCCAGUAGGUCCAACAUGACGGCGUUGCUCACUACUGCCACCCCAGGAAGGUCAUAUAGUGGUCAUCUCCAGGCUUUGUGUGCAUCCGGGAGUCAGGUCCACUGCUUGGGAGAAGUUUUGCGGUUGGAAUGUUGCACAUCUUGACUUCAAAAAUAGCUGGGCUUGGAGGUGCCAAACCUUGUGGUUAAGGGUGAGGGGCAGAGUCCUGUCUCUAUUCAGGCUCAUUAGCAUCCUCCUUUGGCCCUCCUCUUAAGUCCUCUGUCCUUAUCCUUUUAUGCAAAGCAUAUUUAAGACAGCCCCAGUUUCAUUUUAGCCUUGAUGAAGUACCAUUGGUGUUGUGGGAUGGGGAAGUUGCUCCAGUACUGGAAAAAGGAGAAAUCUCUCUCUCUCUUCAUUCUGGAAGCUGCUGUGGAUACCCUUGGGCAUUGGGGACCUUCUCAUUAUGGAGCACCCUUGAGUAUUUACAUUGAUUUGUCUCUAGCAUCUGAUUUAAAAGGCAUUUUGGGGAAAGGAGAAUGUCAGGAAAUGAAAAGAGACCUGAUUGAUUGGGGCUGUUCAUCUCUGUUCUCCCUCAGCAUGUGUGGAAAAUGAAGGGAUCCUCCUACUGAGAAACACUAGUAGUUUACCCAGUCUUAAUGUCUGUGUCCUUUUCCAGCUGUUACAAACUAUUCGGAGUGGAAACGUGAAUUUAAAUGUUUCUGAUUACUACCUAUUAAAGAUUCCUUUUUAAGGACUAGAGUACAUUAGGAGGAAGUAUAGUUACAAUAUACACGUAGGUGCUUAGUUGAAAUAUACGUGAAGUGUAUAUUAAUAAGUAUAUUUAGUAAAACAUACAUGAAGUGACCCUGAUUUUCCAGAGAUAGUAUAGUAACCGUGGAUAGGUUUGAGUUUUUCCAGAACUUGGUGUUAGCACACAUCUGUAUGUUUUAGUAGAGCUGUUAGAAGUAGCUAAAGAAAACAGAUAGAAAUUUUACCUCGUUCAAGUCCAGUUCUACUAAUCCUAGAGAUGCAGAUGAACUGUGAAGUGACCAAAAGGCAUAAAAGAAUAGGAGGCACUUCAAGAGCUUUAAGACCCCUUAUGACCUCUCACGUGUUGUCCUCCUGCCUGUGCCACUCCUAGAUUGGCCAUUGACACAGGUAGAGGCAUGAAAAAUCCACAACCUGAGUAAUCCUCUGUCAAAAUAACAGAUGUGCUACUAUUUAUGAGCGAAAAUAGGACUUUCACUUAUGUUAAAAAAUAUCUUCUUGAAAUUUAUUCUUAUGGCAUGCUUUCUUUUAUUUGUCAAAAACAAAAGAUUUAGUUCAUAUCUCACUUCCUAUGCCCUAUUUAUAGAUCAGUUCCUUAUUGAAUCUCUGUAUGUGCUGUUUAUUUAAAAUGACAACACAAAUUCAAAUGGCCAUAGUUCAAUAUUUUUAGAAGAUCAUGACAAUUCUGGGUUACCAAAUCAGUAUUUUUAUCUAUUAAUUUAUUAAAUCAAAGAAUUUUAACAGAUUGAAAUAGGAUACUAAUUGAAAUUCAGGGUCUUUUUUUCCCUUUUUUUUCAGUCCUUUGUUGUACUUUGGAGGGGAGAGAGUCCCGGGUCAGCUCACCCCGCCAUUUUGCUCCCUGACCGGAAAUAGGAUACUAAUUGAGAUGCAUUUGCAGAUGGAAUGUCUUAAGCAUGGAGUUGACGUCAUACUAGAGUUACCUGAAAACUCCACAAACCGAUGGAGAAACUGAGUCCCCAAAGUGUUUCAGCAUCCUUGAAGUUAUACAGAGAACUAAAGUAGCAUAUGGCUUAUCUAGGAGGUAAAGAUAAGAACAGCUUCUGCUUGAUUGGUGCCCUCUUGAAGAGAAAUACUUGCCAAGAAGAAACUGACACUCUGGAGGAUCCUGGCUCAAACUGUCUCUUCUUUAAUUGACGGGGAAUCAAACUUGAGAAUUCAACAAGAACUUCUUACACCAAUUUUUGAAAAAAACUACAACCUACCAAAACUCACCUGAGAUGAAAUCCAUAACCUGAAUAGUCAUAUAAUCAUUAAUAAAAUUGGAUGCAUUGGUAAAAACCUUCUGAAAAAGAAAUCUCCAGACCCAGACAGUUUGGCUGGUAAAUUCUAAUAAACAUUUAAGGAAAAAGCAACACCAAUUUAGACAAUAUUUUUCAGGAGAAGAGGGAAAACUUCCAACUUAUUUUAUGAGGCCAGCAUUACUCUGAUACCAAAGAUGGUAAAAAAAAAAAACACACACACACACACACACGGAUCAAUAUCCCUCAUGAACAUAGAUUUUAAAAAUUCAUCAAAAAAUAGUAGCAAUAUUAGUUGUCAAAUUUAUGUAUGUGGGAUUGUUCAUAAUAUUCCCUUAUCAUCCUUUUAAUGUCAAUGGGAUCUGUAAGUGAUACCGCUCUUUCACUCCUGGUAUUAGUAGGUUGUAUUUUCUUUCUCUUUCUCUUGUUUUCCCUUUGUCAGUCUUGCUAGAGGCUUAACAAUUUUAUUGAUAUUUUCAAAAAACUAGCUUUUGUUUUCGUGGAUUUUUUUCUUUUUGCUUUCAAUUUCAUUUAUUUCUGCUCUUAUCUUUGUUAUUUCCUUCCUUCUUGCUUUGGGUGUAUUUUGUUCUUCAUUUUCUAGUUUCUGCAGAUAGAAGCUUAGAUUAUUGAUUAAAGACCUUUCUUUUUUUCUAAUAUAAAUAUUUAACUUUACAAAUUCCCCCUAUAAGCACCAUUUUAACUGCAUCACACACAUUUUGAUAUAUUGUAUUUUUAUUUUGUUCAAUUCAAAAUUCUCUUUCACUUGAGACUUUCUCUUUGACCCAUACGUAAUUUAGAAGUAUGUUCUAUAAUUUCCAAGUAUUUGAAAAUUUUCCUCUUCUCUCUUUAUUGUUGAUUUCUAGUUUAAACAUUGUGAUCAUACUUUGUGUUAUUUCAAUUCUUCUAAAUUUGUUAAAGUUUUAUACUUCAGGGUAUGGUCUAUCUUGGUGAAUGUUUUAUAUGUGCUUUAAAAGAAUGCAUAUUCUGCUUUUCACUAGAAUGUUUUGUAAAUAUGAGAUUCACUUGCUUGGUGGUAUUUUCUGUCUACCUUCUUUAUGUUUUAUUGAGAGAGAGAUGUUGAAGCUUCCAACUUUUACUUUAGAUUUACUUGUUUCUCCUUUGAGUUCUGGCAGUUUUUGUUGGAUGUAUUUUAUGGUCUA
ensembl:lncRNA